UCUUUGGUCCAAUUAGAGGAAGUAAAAGUCGUAACAAGGUUUCCGUAGGUGAACCUGCGGAAGGAUCAUUACUGAGUCGUCGACACGAGUUGUUGUCUGGUCCCCCACAUGGGGGGCAUGUGCCCCGCUUCGGUUUUACCUUCUUGGUUUCCNNUGAGGAAGUAAAAGUCGUAACAAGGUUUCCGUAGGUGAACCUGCGGAAGGAUCAUUACCGGGUCACGGGGGGGCGACCCCCCGACUCCCAACCCUUGCCUACCCUCCGCGUUGCUUCGGCGGGAGCUCAGCGCGCCCGCCGGAGGCCGAACCGACUCGAAUCUAGGACGUCCGAGCGAACGCAAACAGUUAAAACUUUCAACAACGGAUCUCUUGGUUCUGGCAUCGAUGAAGAACGCAGCGAAAUGCGAUAAGUAAUGUGAAUUGCAGAAUUCAGUGAAUCAUCGAAUCUUUGAACGCACAUUGCGCCCCCUGGCACUCCGGGGGGCAUGCCUGUCCGAGCGUCAUUUCAACAGUCGAGCCCGGCUCGGUGUUGGGCCGCGUCCUCCCGGACGGGCCUGGAAGCCCCCGGCCGCGAGGCCCCGCUUCAGGCGUAGCAGAGCUCACGCAGCCUCGCCUUGGAAGCCGGGUCCCCGCCGCGCCGCGAAACCCAUCUCAAAGGUUGACCUCGGAUCAGGUAGGGAUACCCGCUGAACUUAAGCAUAUCAAUAAGCGGAGGAAGUCCUGGGCCCCUCCGAGAGCGAAGUGCAAUGGAACUCAUAGGAUUCUCUUCUCAAUGAGGACAGCUUUUUUAAGUUUCGAUCUCAAAUCAGGUAGGACUACCCGCUGAUCUUAAGUAUAUCAUUAAGCGGAGGAAUAUAGCGGAGGCAACCGGGUCCCCCGCGGAAAACAGUGACUCUAGAGUGACACCGCGGGCUGAGCCUGGCGAGUAAACCCGUGUUAAACCACGCAUUAACGAGACCAAAAGGAGGUCCCCUGUAGUGGCUCCCUUCGGAAUUUUUAGCUACGUGACGUGCUAUUCGUACGUAUGUAGAUUAAUCAGUGAUUCUGCACCACGAUCAUUCAGCGGUGAAUCAAAUGAUGUAAGCAAAGCCCGUGAGAACGUGCCUCGAUCUGACUUCCAUAGAAGGACCUAGCGGA
rnacentral:rRNA from 1 species